rnacentral:misc_RNA from 1 species
GUAUUGAUUGCGUGUGACCGCAAAAGAAACAUUCUACACUGUAUCAAGUUUUAUGUGAAAACGCAAGCCCUCCUGCAAAGGGGGGCCCACGCGGUGAUGCACAAAAGGGGUGAGAUGGAUUGUGUGAGAGUGCUCGGGCGUGCACAACCUUUAAAAGGUCAGCGACAGCCCUUGCACCUCGGUUAUACAAUAAUGAUCCUUCCGCAGGUUCACCUACGGAAA